UACGUAGGGUGCAAGCGUUGUCCGGAAUUAUUGGGCGUAAAGAGCUCGUAGGCGGUUUGUCGCGUCGAAUGUGAAAACCCGGGGCUUAACCCCGGGCCUGCAUUCGAUACGGGCAGACUAGAGUUCGGUAGGGGAGACUGGAAUUCCUGGUGUAGCGGUGAAAUGCGCAGAUAUCAGGAGGAACACCGGUGGCGAAGGCGGCUCUCUGGGUCUGUCCUGACGCUCAGGCGCGAAAGCUAGGGGAGCAAACAGG
rnacentral:rRNA from 1 species